rnacentral:rRNA from 1 species
CAUUGAAAAACAGAAAAAAAAAAUAGUGCAUGAGCAAGUAGUCGCCUCGCACUGGAUCGAUGCUCCGUUGUCACUCCCCCGCCGCAUAUAAGCAGUUCAACGCUGCAAUCCCCGGCCGUUCAGUCUCGCUGCCGUGGGCGUGCCCCGCUCCAACUCCAUCGCAUGUGCUUCAGUGGAGAAAUAGUGCAACCUGAGGAACCGCUAGGGGUCGAGGACGUCCAGCUUGGCAGUCCAAUUUGGCGUUAUUCACGUCAUUGCUAGCCCCAUGUUCGCUGGCAAGACCACCGCGCUUCUCGCCGGCACCGACAGGGUCUUUGGGUUAGAAGUGGUUAAUUUGUUAGCCCCUGGAGCUUGUCGGCGAGCCAUGUGCUGGGCCAACCACAAGGCAACGCCACCAGGUAGGGCGCCAGACGGCUGCCGAGCGUGGCAUGAGCCUUUCCGACCCCAUUUCCAGGUUAAGCGCCAAAGAUCUCAUCGUCGGGUGCGCAAAAGCACUAGCACCUCUGCUUCCAUUUUUCUUCAAAAGUUAUGCUAACCAAUUAGCCACUGAUAAGAUGACUUUACUUCCAACUAGCCACUCAAAAGUUGUGGCCAUUUAAUGACACCUUCUACAUUUGAGACAUGUGAAACUGUAACCUUCCAAUGUUACCGUUUGGUAGCUCGGGAUGCUUUAUGUUUUGGAGAUCUACAGAGUGACUAUCUGAGAGUGUGUUAGACUUUCUCAUUAC